GACGAACGCUGGCGGCGUGCUUAACACAUGCAAGUCGAACGGAAAGGCCCUGCUUGCAGGGUACUCGAGUGGCGAACGGGGGAGUAACACGUGGGUGAUCUGCCCUGCACUUCGGGGUAAGCCUGGGAAACUGGGUCUAAUACCGGAUAGGAGCCAUUUUUAGUGUGAUGGUUGGAAAGUUUUUUCGGUGUAGGAUGAGCUCGCGGCCUAUCAGCUUGUUGGUGGGGUAAUGGCCUACCAAGGCGGCGACGGGUAGCCGGCCUGAGAGGGUGGACGGCCACAUUGGGACUGAGAUACGGCCCAGACUCCUACGGGAGGCAGCAGUGGGGAAUAUUGCACAAUGGGCGCAAGCCUGAUGCAGCGACGCCGCGUGCGGGAUGACGGCCUUCGGGUUGUAAACUCCUUUCGCUAGGGACGAAGCUUUUGUGACGGUACCUAGAAAAGAAGCACCGGCUAACUACGUG
rnacentral:rRNA from 1 species